AGCGAACGCUGGCGGCAGGCUUAACACAUGCAAGUCGAACGCCCCGCAAGGGGAGUGGCAGACGGGUGAGUAACGCGGGGGAAUCUACCCAUCUCUGCGGAAUAGCUCUGGGAAACUGGAAUUAAUACCGCAUACGCCCUACGGGGGAAAGAUUUAUCGGGGAUGGGUGAGCCCGCGUUGGAUUAGCUAGUUGGUGGGGUAAAGGCCUACCAAGGCGACGAUCCAUAGCUGGUCUGAGAGGAUGAUCAGCCACAUUGGGACUGAGACACGGCCCAAACGCCUACGGGAGGCAGCAGUCGGGAAUAUUGGACAAUGGGGCCGAGCCUGAUCCAGCCAUGCCGCGUGAGUGAUGAAGGCCUUAGGGUUGUAAAGCUCUUUCACCGAUGAAGAUAAUGCCGGUAGUCGGAGAAGAAGCCCCGGCUAACUUCGUGCCAGCCGCCGCAGUAA
rnacentral:rRNA from 1 species